rnacentral:misc_RNA from 1 species
GCAUCGAUGAAGAACGCAGCGAAAUGCGAUAAGUAAUGUGAAUUGCAGAAUUCAGUGAAUCAUCGAAUCUUUGAACGCACAUUGCGCCCGCCAGCAUUCUGGCGGGCAUGCCUGUUCGAGCGUCAUUUCAACCCUCGAGCCCGACUCUUUUGAGGACGGCUCGGCGUUGGGGGACGGCAGACUCCCCCCGGCAUCUCGCCGGGGACGCCGCCCCCGAAAUCUAGUGGCGGCCCUCCGAGGCGACCUCUGCGUAGUAACUUGUUCUCGCACCGGAAAGCUCAGAGCGGCCACGCCGUAAAACCCCAACUUUUUUCAGGUUGACCUCGAAUCAGGUAGGACUACCCGCUGAACUUAAGCAUAUCAAUAAGCGGAGGA